ensembl:lncRNA
UAUUGUUUUUACAAAUAGGGCACCAUGAACAACAGAGCUGUUCAACAUUGACCUAAAGAUGCCUUUUGAUGCAGGAGCUUGUUUGUAUCUUUAAAAAGUAAGAAACUGAAAGAGUUAUUUAAUUGUUUCAUUGUGUGCUGAAACGCAACACUUCAAGAAUCCACACGGGAAGGGCUGCCACACAGUCCUUCCCGUGAUGAUUUCACAGGAAGGGAAUUUAUGUUUUUUUCCAUUUUGUAUCACAUCUUAGUAACCCUUUGAUGACCUUGCCUUCUUCGUUGUUUCAGAGUGCAUGAAUAUGCGUGUAUUUCAAAUGUUUAGCAUACUAGAAAUACGUAGUAUGAUCAAAGUCAUGAAGAACAGAACUUUUCAACAUUGGCCUAAAGACGCCAUUUGCGGAGGUGCGUAUUUUUUUUUUUCUUGAAGGAGUAAGAAUGAACUGAAGUGUCAUUGCACAUCAGUAUUUUUCCACCAUGGCACACACAUUAUAUACUGUAACCAUACAGCAUUGUGCAAGAAAUAUAACUUAAAAUACAUAGAUUAGUCAGUACAAAAGAAUAACCUUACCUUUUGUGUGUUAAAAUAUCUACCGGUAAGUACUUCCCUGCUUUUAAAAACUAUGACAUGGCAGACAUGGCUUUAUUAAUGUGUUGGAAACCACUCCCUCCCUUCAUUCCUCUGGCAUACAAUUAAACCAAACACACAACUUUGAAUCUGAACAAGCUGUACCCAGACAGAACUACUGAGGAGAGAGGAUUAAGAUAUCGAGGAUGACUUGCUUCAUCGCAAAAUUGUUCUUUACGGUUACGAGGCAAGGCGUCUACACAAUGGGAGCGCAGGGUGUGGCUAUAUCCACAACUUGCGGGGUGUUAAUCGUAGUUGGUGUAGUGGCAGUGGUGGCAGGAAUAUUAGUGUGGAAGUACCUGGAUAACCAAAAGACCUGACUGAAAGAGUUGAUUGACUGCAAAAGCAUCGAUGGAAUUAUAACUCUGCAAUAAAAGCAAAGAUGGCAGACAACUGGUGGUUUUGAAGUUUUUGUGUGUGACAUUUUUGACUGAGCCAUCUCUGGCAUUCGGUUGAGUCCUGAAUAUUAGUGCCAAACAAAUCCCUAACGUGCACCGAGGAUGUGGCUUGUGUAUAAUGUAAAAUAGUUUCAGACGGCUUAUUAAACAGAAUGAUGUAAAUGCAUAACCUCAAACCAGUCUGAUAACUUUAUCCGAUUACAAAUAUAUACAUUAUUUUAGACUGUAACCUAAAAUGAAAGGAGCUUGUAUGAAACCCCUAACAUGUCCUUUGCUUACAGACUGAUAAGAGACUAACAGGGAAACGUUUGUAUCACCUGCUUAUGACUGAAGCCUCCGCAGCACAAUUUGGAAAGACAAGGGUCAUCUCACUGGAGCCAAGUAACAAAACUGCUUAAACAAACUAAAUGCUUUUCUCAAGAAGAUGAAUCCAAUCCAGUUGCGGGUACCAUCACUUCACUAUUGCUGUGUUGAACAGUGAGGGGUGAGGACGUCCAGAUCCCCUCCAGAGCAUUCACCGUGUGUCAGUGAGUCUCAAUGUUGCAACGUGCACUCCAGGGAGAAGAGGCUGCUUAUUAAACUAUAUCCACAUCCAUAAAGCGUAAAUGAGCAGGUAGCAGAGUGUGGUCUUAAGAGCAGCAGGGAAUCUAUCUCUUCAAUCUUUUCAACAUUGGCCUAAAGUUGUUUUUUUCUUGAAGGAGUAAGAAUGAAACUGAAAGUGUCAUUGCACAUCAGUAUUUUUCCACCAUGGCACACACAUUAUAUACUGUAACCAUACAGCAUUGUGCAAGAAAUAUAACUUAAAAUACAUAGAUUAGUCAGUACAAAAGAAUAACCUUACCUUUUGUGUGUUAAAAUAUCUAAGUACUUCCUUAACUACCGUGAUGAAGAGACAUUUCUAAGCAUUAUUCGGCCUACCUUGUUCAGCAUGUUAACAUUAGCUGAUUAUUGUGAUGGUAAUUAAAAAAUAAUCACCUUCUGGUAAGACAUUAGCAAAUAUAGAAGUUAUAGAAGCCAUGUGUAUGACAACUUCACAACAAUUAGUACAAAACACACAGUAAAAAGCUGAUGUGAGUGUUAGUUGCAGAUGUUUUGGUCAUAGGCCCACACUAAAGUACAAAUGAAAAUUGUGUUAGAUGAAGUUAGAGAAUCACCAAAGUUAUUACAAUUCAUCCUGAGGGGAACAUAAAUGUAAAAAAAAUAAAAAAAGGUCCUGGUAUAAAUUAAAUGCUGACUGUUUCUAUCUCCUUUUUAGCGAAGGUUUGGCGUUUCGACUACCGGCUACACAGUGGCAACGGAGAGUGUGGUUAUAUCCUUGCUAUGUGGGGUGUUAUUAUUUGCUGCUCUAGCGGUAGGAGUAAUAAUAUGGUGGAAGCACCUGGUAAGUGAUUCAACAAUCUCUCCAAAAGAAGCUUCUUUUGUCUGAUAAAAGAAUAAAUUGCAAUA